rnacentral:sRNA from 1 species
UCCGAGACGAAGGACCCAACGCGCGUCCAGCCUCAUCUGAAGAAGUGCUUCGAGGGCAUUGCCACGCUGAACUUCACCGAGGAAUUGGAUGUGACAGCCAUGCGCUCCUCAGAGCGUGAGGAGGUCGUCCUGGUGGAUGUCAUCUCAACGUCUAAGGCUCGCGGACAGGUUGAGAAGUGGCUGCUGGA